UUAAGUUAUUAAGGGCGCACGGUGGAUGCCUUGGCACUAGAAGCCGAUGAAGGACGUUACUAACGACGAUAUGCUUUGGGGAGCUGUAAGUAAGCUUUGAUCCAGAGAUUUCCGAAUGGGGAAACCCAGCAUGAGUUAUGUCAUGUUAUCGAUAUGUGAAUACAUAGCAUAUCAGAAGGCACACCCGGAGAACUGAAACAUCUUAGUACCCGGAGGAAGAGAAAGAAAAUUCGAUUCCCUUAGUAGCGGCGAGCGAAACGGGAAGAGCCCAAACCAAAAAGCUUGCUUGUUGGGGUUGUAGGACACUCUAUACGGAGUUACAAAGGACGACAUAGACGAAUCAUCUGGAAAGAUGAAUCAAAGAAGGUAAUAAUCCUGUAGUCGAAAAUGUUGUCUCUCUUGAGUGGAUCCUGAGUACGACGGAGCACGUGAAAUUCCGUCGGAAUCUGGGAGGACCAUCUCCUAAGGCUAAAUACUCUCUAGUGACCGAUAGUGAACCAGUACCGUGAGGGAAAGGUGAAAAGCACCCGACGGGAGG
rnacentral:rRNA from 1 species